AAAUGCAGCCCCAAGGAAACAUGACCAUGACAAUGCAGAGAUGUGAACCACUGACAAAGCUUUCCACGCUGUAACCUUGGUGGACUUGAGGAGAAUACUG
rnacentral:lncRNA from 1 species